UUGCCCAGUGAACACCAAGUGCGCUUUAGCCUUCCCUUGGCUUUGACUCUAUGCUAGAGACUGUCUGUUCUUUCCCUCUGCUUUGAAAGGACUCUUUAUUCUUCUAAACGUAUUCAGAAAGUCAGCUUAUUA